CAUAUUUUUUGAAAUUUGGACUCAAUUUAUUUUUUUUAAGUUUAAAAAGUUGAAUUCAAAUAAAAUACCAAACAUACACUUAACAUCCUUUUGAUAUCACAUUUGUCAUAUUUUUUCAAAAGAAUUAAAGACAAAUACGAGAUGGGGAGGCAUUAGACAAUUGAGAUUGAGCAAAAAUAAAAAAAACAUAGAGAGAAUGAGAUAAUAUUUAGUUAGAAAUUACAAAAAAAAUGAAAUAAUAUUAUCCUUUUCAUUUUUUAUCCAUUCUCUUGUCUCACAAUACCAUAUCAAGUACGGGAGCUCGCAAAAGAAAAAAAAACACGGGACCUCUCAACAGGCCUCAUGUAAGUGUGCGUACAUACAUCAUUUAGUAUGGGCGCUCGUCCUCGGGCUGGUACAUGGGAUCGUAGCUGCAAACGAUGUAGUUCUUUCCAUCCUUGCACUUUGAAAUGCCACAUCCGACCUCGGUGGUUUUGCCCCAGAUCACAGCAAGGUAGUGACCACAUUCCUCUUUGACACAUUUGUUGGACUUGGGGUCAUAGAACUCUUUCUCGGUGACCCAAUAUUUAGUGCCAGCUGCGCCGGUCAUGCCGUCGCCCGAGGUCAAGUUCUCACCCCAACGCCCCCUUGAGUGCUCCAUAGCGCAGUCAUCAACUCUUUUGUUGGCAUAUUCUUGGGCAUACUGGGCCAAGGUUGUGUUCCACUUAAGGGGUUUGUUGCCGACCUCUUUACGAGCCUUGUUGUGCUCCUCGAGGAAGCCAUCGAUCUCUGCUUGGGAAAUGUUUGCAGAGACAAGAGUGAAGACUAAUACGACACAGCAGAUGGCCAAAAGUAGCUUCGUGUUGAAUGCCAUUUUUGUUUCUUGAUAUCAGAAGUUUAAGGUGUUUUCUUUGUAGCAGAGAAGGUUGGAUUGUUAGAUGUUGAUUGAAAUGGGAAAUGAGAUUGUGCAUAUUUAUAUAGUUGGGAGGGUUAAAUAUAGGAUCCUAAAAUGGGAGGGUUUGUUAAGUUCUAUAAACAAGCAUGGAGAACAAAUAAAACUCGUGUGGGAUUGCAUCACCGAGUGGAUGUGGUAUCCAUACAAACAUUGUAUUGUCAGACAAUCAAUCUAUACCAUUGAUUAAGUGAAGUUUUAUUUGAAUCCUAUAAUCAGGUGAGGAUUUUUAGCUGCAAUGACUAAAACAUUUAGCUGUACAUUGAGGAUCAAAGUUUUGACUUUGUUUACGAUAUAAAUGAACUUUGUUAUAUGACCCCUCUGUCAACUUCUUGUAGCUUUUUAAAAUAAAAGUUAAAUGCAUUAUGCUGCUUUCCAAAAUCUAAAGAAAUGAAAGAGGAAGCAAAUUAGUUAGGCAAAAACUCACUUUUCAUCUAGUAUGAUGAAAUUUCCACGUUUGUCCCUAUAGUUUCAAUUCUAGCAAUUUGACCUAUGUAGUUUGAUUUUAUUGCAAUUUAAAGGACAUUUCCAAAUUUCCGUCCGAUUUCUUGAUGGAAAAAACACUUGCUCGUACAUGGAGGAGUAUUUUGGAUGGAAAUUUGGAUUUGUCUUGGAAUUGUGAUAGAAUCAAACUACAUUGAUUAAAUUGAUAAAAUUAAAAUUACAUGUGAUAGAAUCAAACUACAUUGAUUAAAUUGACAAAAUUAAAAUUACAUGGUCUUGAUCUUGCAACAACUUUGGGUUCUCAUCCGCUCGAGUUGCCUAGAUCAGAUUGGCAUUGUUUGGGCGAUGAAAAACUCAUGCUCGUUUUCUGUAAUACCCUGAAAAAUUAAAGGUGGACUUUCAUAUUUCAAUGAAAAAUAAUACUAUAGUGGAGAAUGAUUAUGGGUAUUUUAUCAAGUACUUUUGGAUUGAGACUACUGGAUUAAGUUCGUUUAAUUUCAAGUUGGACAUAAAUGCCUUUACAUAACAUUUUGUGAAUUUUUCAAAGGACAUUUAAGAAAUUGAAGUGAGACCAUUCUGAUUCUUAGGUAGGACGAUAGUAGUCGACUCAAUGAACACGUAGGAAAUCAUUUCUGCAUUUUUUGCCAAAAUGACCAAAAAUACCUGUGUGUAAAAAUUACCAAAAUACCCUUGUAGACCCACAAAAAAAAAUAAAAAUGAAACGUCGAGGGCAUCAGCCCACUCUCCACCCAUUCUUUCCCCGUUGCCUCAAGUUUUCAAAUCAAUAAUCAUUUUGGGGAUGAGUUGGUAUAGGUGAGUUAUUAGCUUAAGGUGUGAGUUGAAAGCCUACUACAGGGUGAGUCACCUAGGCUAAGAUUCCCCAAUGAUGAAUCUGAUUUCUUUUUGAGCUAAGUGAGUUUCUGGUGAGAGAGAGAGAGAGAGAGAGAGAGAGAGAGAGAGAGAGAGAGAGAAGAAUAAGAAGAAGAAGAAGAGGAGGAGGAAGAGGAGGAAGAGAAGACUUGGAAAUAAGGGAGAUGUUAUUACUAUUACAUCCAUGAGAGAAUUAAGAAAGGAAAUGUGAGAGGUAGAAAAAAAAUGGUGGAAAUAUUGAAACAAUUGGAAGGAUGAAAGGUGGGACUCUUGUUCUACGUUCAUUUUCAAUCCUUGAGUGUUGGUAUAAUUAAUUGUUUGAGUAGAUUUAUCGUUGUUUCUGAGUUUGAGAAUGAUAUAUGAACCUUCUGAGGCAUAAGAAAAUCAAAGAAGAAUUUUGAAAUCAAGAUUUUCGGAUUUUGGGUGUGUUAACAAAAAUUUUGGGUUUGGGUGUUCAAACUUUAGAUCCAAAUCUUGUUUUUGGGAAGCUUAGGUCAAGGAAAUGAUGUUGGAAUAUGAUUUCGAGUCUUAAGGAUGGUAUUUGAGGUGUUUAAAGAGACUCUUGAUAAAAUUCUAAAACUUCGUAUUUUUUUGGAAAUUUCAGUUCAUGGGCCUUACUUUGGCUCCCGUGUUCCUCUGAUUUAUGAAGUAUUUUUUUAAGGGUUUUCAUUGUUUUGGAAACUAGGAAUAGCAAGGGUCAAAAUCCUUUUGAUUUCACUGAUUUUGUUUAAGUUUUGGGGGAUUAAAUAUUGGAGUAGAGUUAGGUUUCCAAAACUGCAAAAACAGAGGAAGCUGGAAAACGAAAAUUCAAAUUUUUGGGUUUGUCUUUUGAUUCGAAUUUCUCACUAACCGUAGCUUUGUUUUCACAUAUCUUUAUAUGUAUAGAACGCUAAGGUCACAAGCUUCAAUUUGAAUAUGGUCUUGCAAAGAUUGGAUGUUUUAAGACCGUUUUCUAGUAGUGACGGUUGUUUAGCCAUAUGUUUCUUACCAAAGUAACGGAUAAUGAGUCCCUUAUUAAAAUUUUGGAUAAACUAGUUAGGUUUUUUUCUAGUUGUAUUUUUCUUUCCAAUAUAAGAAGUCUUAAAUUCGAUUCUUCCCUCACUUGAAGAUGAAAAAAAACAUAGACAUAAUUGAUAACAUAUAUUAAAAGGACCCGCCCCGAAUUUUCCGAAACCCGAGACGAAUCCUGUGGAAAUUCCCGACAUCACCCCGAUGCUGGGCCCAUUUACUAAAGACCGAGACUUUCUGCCGAAAUUUCCGCAGAGUCUCCCUUGUAAAUUGGACAUUUCCCAAAAUUUCAACCUACGUAAAAAUGCAUUUAAUAUCCAAAACUGGCAGCAUGCACAAUAUAAUUUCAUGCAAUUCACAUAAACGGCCUUUGGCCUUCCGAUAAUUCUCAACUACCAAGCAUGCUAGCAAAUCAAUUUAUGCCUACUAGAUUUCAACGUACAUCAUCUAACUUUUUCAAUUUCAACAUACAUGGUUUUAACCUCCUAACACAAUCACAUCUAUGUCCGCGGUUGCACCUAAUAACCUUAGGCUGCCUACGCACCCUCACUGAGGGAUCAAGCUACACGUAGUUCUUCCUUAAAACCCAAUUCCACACAUAGGCAAUACCUUAUUUCAUUUCUCUGUAUUUCACAUAAUCUCCCUAUAUGCCGGUACUACCAACGCCACGUAUGGGGCCUGUCAACACGCCGGAUAACCUACGCCACGUGCGACCUUACCAUACUAUCACAAUAUCUCCCCAUACACCGGUACAACCAACGCCACGUAUGGGGCCUGUCUCAAAGCCGAAUAACCUACGCCACGCGAGACCUGAACACCAUAUCACAAUAGCUCCCCAUAUGCCGGUACAACCAACGCCACGUAUGGGGUCUGUCGACACGCCGGAUAACUUACGCCACGUGCGACCUCACCAUAAUAUCAUAAGAUCUCCCCAUACGCCGGUACAACCAACGCCACGUAUAGGGCCUGUCUCAGCGCCGGAUAACCUACGCCACGUGAGACUUCAACAUCACAUCAUAAUAUCUCCCCAUACGCCGGUACAACCAACGCCACGUAUGGGGUCUGUCGACACGCCGGAUAACCUACGCCACGUGCGACCUUAACAUAAUAUCACAAUAUCUCCCCAUACGCCGGUACAACCAACGCCACGUAUGGGGCCUGUCCGCACGCCAGAUAACCUACGCCACGUGGGACAUAACAUUCACAUGGUGGUACUUGUAGUGUAACCAAAAUCCGGGGAGGUACCUAAGGUUGUGCGUAUAGCACUUCAAACUGACAUUCUAGACUCUUUUGUACCCUUAUACAAACAUAUAUAAAUAUAUACAUUAAUUCUAAUAUUGUGUAAACCUCAACAAUAGUCUAGCACCGGAUAAUCCCCCCUGGGAAGGUGAGAUUACUCCGGGAGACUCACGGUCAACCAAGGGUCAAACUACCCUAACCCUGGUCAAAGGGGCCCACGGGGACCACGACCUCCAAAUUCCGAUCCGAAAGUUCCUAUGGGUUCUACAAGGUAUAGGACACUCGUCCUGCAAGUUUGGUUCAGAUCGCUCACGAUCGCACGAUCUGACGGUUAAUAUAAAACAUAAACUUUAAAUUAUUAAAUCGGAACAUCCGGGGCUCCGAUUCACGAUCCGUGAAUUCUUGCACGAUCCUAGAAAUACCUAGAUUAUCAUAUAUUAAUUGGGAAACGAUCCAACGGUCAGAACCUAUUGAAUCCGGAUAACGCACAAUAUGCGAAAAUCCGUUCGAUAGUCAAACGAUGUCUGAAUUGAGAUCCGCAAAAUCCUAAGCACUCGUGACAACCAGGAGAUCACAUUGGGACAAUAAUACCCCUCUACUACAGUGCCCACGCGCCGCCACAGGAGCGGGCAGCGUGUGGGUGUCCAAAGCGAUAAAGCUUCGCCGAAAAAUCUCAACACCUCGGGCCAAGACUUCUACCCUAGGUAUAACACCCUAUUUGGAGUCAUUUUUGUUCUUAGGCCUACCCCAAAAAGUCACCGGCCGAAAACAAACUCCCAAAAUCGGCAGAAUUUCAAAUCGAAGAUCAACUAUCCUGGGCUCAAAAUUAACGAAAUCCUAUCCAACCAUCAGCUAGAGUAUGGGUGGAAAACCAUACCUUACUCGUCAAAUUUGGAGAAGAAAUGAGAGAGAACAAGCUCUUUGAAUUUUGGGUUAAAACCGGUCGGAUUUUUGCAUUUUCCGGCGAGCACAGGUGGUUCCAGUGGCUGGGAUUGGUCGGGAUGGGAAGAGGAGGAUGGCACGGUUCUUUUGGGACCGGUGCCACCCCAAGCGGUGGCCGGAUGCGACGGUGGUGGCCCAAAAAACACCGUGGUGAACAGUAACAAAGGGGGCUGUUCUGCGCGCGCAGGGAGAGAGAGAGAGAGAGAGAGAGAGAGAGAGAAUCUGAUUUUUAUAAAAAAUCUGAUUUCAAAAUAUUAACGAUUUUGCCACUGAACUUGUUUUGCCCGUAACUUCUUCGUUUCAACUCCGAAUCGAGCCCACUACGUGUCUACGGACUCAUCUCAGUACGACAUUCCCAAAAAUACUAGUCACUGCCCCAAACUCUCUUUGGGUAAGAAAAUGACCAAAAUACCCCUAUCCCAAUGGUAAAUUUGUAAUUUCCCUUAAAUAAUUUAAAUAAUUUAAAUAAGGGGUUUAAUUUGGAGUCGGGGUGUUACAUAUAUUUACAACCAACACAUUCAAAUUUUCAAAAUCUAUAAUGACAUAAAGCAAUCCAAGUUCCUACCUCUAAUCACUGCACCCACAAUCUUGACCAAGCGUUUUAAUCCAAAAAUUCUUUGAGAUCUUGAAUAAAAAGUUAGGUGACAUUUCGACCUUUACCACAAGUGUUCUAUUAUACUUUAGCUUCAAAUCAUAUGAAGUUCCAAUCUGACUUGAAAUGGUAUAAGAUAUCGUACAAGAUUUGUUAUAUUUACUAGCCUCUUGGCACAUGCUCACGCAUGUACCAAUUGGUUUUAUUUUUUUUUAUUUUUUAUGUUAUUUUUAAAAUAUAAAAAAUAACAUGGAUAGUUAUGUUCCACAAAAGUAGGACAUAUUAUAUGAUUUUGUUUUUAAUUUUAAUUUUUUUAAUAUAAAAAAUGUAAAUUUACCGUAUUAUCCCCAUUUAAUUAUUCAUUUCAAUUCUUAAUGUUUCAAUUAACUAAGAGUAUUUUUUGGUAUUUUGAAUGUUUCACCAUUCUCUACCUUUUAUUUUAUAUACAUAGAUAAUGAGAUGAACUAAAUUUACCUUACUUGAAUUAUGUGUAAAGAAGUAUUAUAUGUAGUCUUCGGUGAGUUGUAAUAUAAAUGUUGGGCUAAGAAAAAAAAUCGCACAUGGGCUAUAGCCCAAGUUAAUCUUUACUAAGGACCGCCCUAGUUAUGAUACAACCCACAAUCAAAUUGGUCUACAAAUCUCAAUUCAAAAAAUCUCAUAUAUACAUAAAGUAACGGUGCAUGUAAACACAUGCAUCCAUGAACAAGAAAAUCUUAGGUGGCGUUUGGUAUCUAUUCAAGUAUGAAAUUCAAAAUCUUUGAUUUUUCUUUAAAAUAAAGAGUUCAAAAAUCAAAUUUGUGAGAUUCAAAAACUUGUUUGGUAUCCAAGGAGGGAACUCAAACUUUAAAAACAAGGAGUUCUAAAAUCCAUACUUUAAGAUUAAAAACAGUUUGUAGUAAAAAGUCUUAAAAAACCGAUUUGUUUGGGCUUUAAGUAUUUGCGUGGUUUUGAGUAACUUGGUAUACGAAACAUAUUUUUUGAAUUUUGGACUCAAUUUAUUUGUUUGUAGUUUAAAAAGUUGAAUUCAAAUAGAAUACCAAACAUACACUUAACAUCCUUUUGAUAUCACAUUUGUCAUAUUUAAAAAUAAAAAAAAAUUAAAGACAAAUACGAGAUUGGGAGGGAUUAGAUGAUUGAGAUUGAGCACAAAAAAAAAAAAAACAUAAGGAGAAUGAGAUAAUAUUCAGUUAGAAAUUACAAAAAUGAACUAGUAUUAUUCUUUUCAUUUUUUAUCCAUUCUCUUGUCACCUCUCACAAUACCAUAUCAAGUAUGUGCGAUAGCAAAAGAAAAAAAAAACACGGGACCUCUCAACAGGCCUCAUGUAAGUGUGCAUACAUACAUCGUCUAGUAUGGACGCUCGUCCUCGGGCUGGUACAUGGGAUCGUAGCUGCAAACAAUGUAGUUCUUUCCAUCCUUGCACUUUGAAAUGCCACAUCCGACCUCGGUGGUUUUGCCCCAGAUCACAGCAAGGUAGUGACCACAUUCCUCUUUGACACAUUUGUUGGACUUGGGGUCAUAGAACUCUUUCUCGGUGACCCAAUAUUUAGUGCCAGCAGCGCCGGUCAUGCCGUCGCCCGAGGUCAAGUUCUCACCCCAACGCCCUCUUGAGUGCUCCAUAGCACAAUCGUCAACUCUUUUGUUGGCAUAUUCUUGGGCAUAUUGGGCCAAGGUUGUGUUCCACUUAAGGGGUUUGUUGCCGACCUCUUUACGAGCCUUGUUGUGCUCCUCGAGGAAGCCAUCGAUCUCUGCUUGGGAAAUGUUUGCAGAGACAAGAGUGAAGACCAAUGCGGCACAGCAGACGGCCAAAAGAAGCUUCGUGUUGAACGCCAUUUUUGUUUCUUGAUAUCAGAUGUUUAAGGUGUUUUCUUUGUAGCAGAGAAGGUUGGAUUGUUAGAUGUUGAUUGAA
rnacentral:lncRNA from 1 species